GACGAACGCUGGCGGCGUGCUUAACACAUGCAAGUCGAACGGGUCUGCCCUGUUUUUUGCGGGGUGGGUCAGUGGCGAACGGGUGAGUAACACGUGAGUAACCUGCCCCUCACUUCUGGAUAACCGCUUGAAAGGGUGGCUAAUACGGGGUGUUCUGGCUGUGCCGCAUGGUGUGGCUGGGAAAGAUUCACUUUUGUGGUGUUUUGGUGGGGGAUGGGCUCGCGGCCUAUCAGCUUGUUGGUGGGGUGAUGGCCUGCCAAGGCGUUGACGGGUAGCCGGCCUGAGAGGGUGGGCGGUCACACUGGGACUGAGAUACGGCCCAGACUCCUGCGGGAGGCAGCAGUGGGGGGUAUUGCACAAUGGGCGGAAGCCUGAUGCAGCGACGUCGCGUGAGGGAUGGAGGCCGUCGGGUUGUGAACCUUUUUCGCCGGUGAAGAAGGUCCUGCUCUUUGUGGUGGGGUUGACGGUAGCCGGGUUAUGAAGCGCCGGCUAACUACGUG
rnacentral:rRNA from 1 species